rnacentral:tRNA from 1 species
UGGAGAAUAGGUUAAUUAAACUAUCGGGUUCAUGUCCCGCUGUUACACUUUGUGUUUUUCCUG